GUGGGGAAUAUUGGGCAAUGGGGGAAACCCUGACCCAGCAACGCCGCGUGAAGGAAGAAGGCUUUCGGGUUGUAAACUUCUUUGACCAGGGACGAAAAAAAUGACGGUACCUGGAAAACAAGCCACGGCUAACUACGUGCCAGCAGCCGCGGUAAUACGUAGGUGGCAAGCGUUGUCCGGAUUUACUGGGUGUAAAGGGCGUGUAGGCGGGAUCGCAAGUCAGAUGUGAAAUGCGGAGGCUUAACCUCCGAGCUGCGUUUGAAACUGCGGUUCUUGAGUGAUGGAGAGGCAGGCGGAAUUCCUAGUGUAGCGGUGAAAUGCGUAGAUAUUAGGAGGAACACCAGUGGCGAAGGCGGCCUGCUGGACAUUAACUGACGCUGAGGCGCGAAAGCGUGGGGAGCAAACAGGAUUAGAAACCCCUUAGUCC
rnacentral:rRNA from 1 species